GACGAACGCUGGCGGCGUGCUUAACACAUGCAAGUCGAACGGAAAGGCCCUGCUGUUGUGGGGUGCUCGAGUGGCGAACGGGUGUGUAACACGUGAGUAACCUGCCCUUGACUUUGGGAUAACUUCAGGAAACUGGGGCUAAUACCGGAGAGAAGCUCCUGCAGCAGGGUGGGGGUUGGAAAGUUUCGGCGGUUGGGUAUGGACUCGCGGCUUAUCAGCUUGUUGGUGGGGUAGUGGCUUACCAAGUCUGUGACGGGUAGCCGGCCUGAGAGUGUGACCGGCGACAUUGUUACUGAGAGACGGCAGCGGGUGCAACGGGCGGCAGCAGUGAGGAAUACUGCACAACCGCCGCAAGCCUGAUCCACUUACGCCGCGCGCCGGAUCACGGCCUUCCCUUUGUAAAACUCUUUCGCCUGUGACGGUGCGUGAGUGACGGUAAUGGGUCAGGAAGCACCGGCUAACUACGUG
rnacentral:rRNA from 1 species